GACAGGUUCACACAGGGUGUGAGUGUGAGUGUGGGGGAUGGACAGGUUCACACAGGAUCUGAGUGUGAGUGUGGGGGAUGGACAGGUUCACACAGGGUGUGAGUGUGAGUGUGGGGGAUGGACAGGUUCACACAGGAUCUGAGUGUGAGUGUGAGGGAUGGACAGGUUCACACAGGAUCUGAGUGUGAGUGUGGGGGAUGGACAGGUUCACACAGGAUCUGAGUGUGAGUGUGGGGGAUGGACAGGUUCACACAGGAUCUGAGUGUGAGUGUGGGGGAUGGACAGGUUCACACAGGAUCUGAGUGUGAGUGUGAGGGAUGGACAGGUUCACACAGGAUCUGAGUGUGAGUGUGGGGGAUGGACAGGUUCACACAGGAUCUGAGUGUGAGUGUGGGGGAUGGACAGGUUCACACAGGAUCUGAGUGUGAGUGUGGGGGAUGGACAGGUUCACACAGGAUCUGAGUGUGAGUGUGGGGGAUGGACAGGUUCACACAGGAUCUGAGUGUGAGUGUGGGGGAUGGACAGGUUCACACAGGAUCUGAGUGUGAGUGUGGGGGAUGGACAGGUUCACACAGGAUCUGAGUGUGAGUGUGGGGGAUGGACAGGUUCACACAGGAUCUGAGUGUGAGUGUGAGGGAUGGACAGGUUCACACAGGAUCUGAGUGUGAGUGUGGGGGAUGGACAGGUUCACACAGGAUCUGAGUGUGAGUGUGGGGGAUGGACAGGUUCACACAGGAUCUGAGUGUGAGUGUGGGGGAUGGACAGGUUCACACAGGAUCUGAGUGUGAGUGUGAGGGAUGGACAGGUUCACACAGGAUCUGAGUGUGAGUGUGGGGGAUGGACAGGUUCACACAGGAUCUGAGUGUGAGUGUGAGGGAUGGACAGGUUCACACAGGAUCUGAGUGUGAGUGUGGGGGAUGGACAGGUUCACACAGGAUCUGAGUGUGAGUGUGGGGGAUGGACAGGUUCACACAGGAU